rnacentral:lncRNA from 1 species
CCUCCUCACAAGGAGGAACCCCUAUUUCUUGUCAUCUCCAGCUACACACCAGAGGGGGGGGAUAGUCCCAGAUUUUUCUUCUUCCUGACAGCCGUGGGCAGGGGCCCACGGCUCCCCAAUCUCACUUCCUUCUCUCACAGCCAUCAUCAGCCCUGCCCCUCUCAUCGCCAUUUCCCCUGCCAUUUCAGCCUUCCACCUCUGCCUCUCCACCCUCACAGCAGACCAGCCACAAGCCUCACGUCUGCCCCUGACAUCUCCCCCCUGGAUUUUCUUCUCUACUCCCUCAACUGCACAGCCGGCCCUUUCCCCUUGAUUUUUUUCCUCUCAUCUUCUUCCCCUCAGCAGCCGGCACAAACAGCAGCCCAGCCCUCCUAGACCCAUAUAGACCCAGCACCAGCUCCCACAGCACCGUUUCCCUCCAGCUUCUUCACCCAAAACCAUCCUUCCAUCUCCAAUUUUCUGCCCACUCAAGACAGCCCCUCACCUCCUCUCUUACUCCGAUCUUCACUCAUCAAUCGGCCAUAGACCAACAACAGCCACGAAUUAGCUCCCCCUUCCACAGAUCCUCUCUCUCAGCUGCUCCCUUCUCCAGCCGCAGCGGCGCCUUCUUCAUCCGGCAGCACCCAGCAGAGCCUUCCUUCUCCAGCUCCUCCCUCACAAAUCGCCCUGCAGCCGACAUCCAGCAGCGAGACCCAAGACCAACAGCAGCGAAGGAAGACCAUCAACGCCGGCCCCCAGCGGUGGCAGCAGCAGCAGCAUCGCCCACAGGCGCGGAGUAGUCCGCCUUCUCCCUCCGGUGGCGCCUGCAGUUUCGGUUUCCUCAACUCUCUCCUCCUGAACCAGCGGCCAGCUCGCCGCCUCUAGCAGCAACACCACUCUCUCGUCUGUUCCUCCUUGCCGCUCCAGCACAUGGAGCAGAGGAGAAGAAGAGGAUGACCGAAGGAGACCGAUCUGCAGUGAAGCAGAUCCAAAGAACCCGAACGAACCAGAUUUGAAAAGGGGAAAGGAAGGGAAGCCGAUCUGAAAACAAGAUUAAAACAGACUUGCUUGUUGCGUUUUGUUGUUUUGCAGGUAACGGCGUUGUCGCCGCCGGCAAGGAAGAGAAGAGGGGAGAAAGCCAUUUCUGGCCCCCCUGUUUCUGGUUUGAUUUCACGGCGGCGCGUGGACCCACGCGCCGCCAGCGGCGGUGGUGCGUGAGAUCCACGCGCCGCCACUGUCCUUGCUGUUCCAGAGGUCUUCACAGCACUAUUCCAGCGACUCAGAGGUUACCAGCACUGUCCCGGAUUGUUUUGGGUCAUUUUUUGGAAUUUUAGAAUUGUUUAAUGUUAUAUUUGUGUAAUUUUGAGUUUUUCUUUUCAUAGUUUGUAUUUUAUAUUUUAUGUAAAUGUGGAUGUAGAAGAAAAGAAAGAAAAGAAAAGAAAAAGAAAUGUUUGUGUGUGUUUGUUUUUUUUUUAUUUAUAUUAUUGAAUUAAAAAAAAAAAAGGACAAAAAGAAUUAAUUGUUAAUUUAAAUAUGCACAAAUAUCUAAAGGACAGAUAAAAAUCAUGUUGUAUUUCCCAUAAAAAUGUAGAACAUGUAUCUACAUAUAUUUUGGGAAUGAAUAACUGAUUUAUCAAAGCCUUAGAAUUGGGCUAAAAUUUUAUUUUUAAAAUGCAUCAAGUCCACGAAGCAGCUUACCUCAGGUAGGGUGUGUUAGGGGUGCUAAUACCUUCCCUAACCACAACCAGUCCCUUACCCAUGAAUCUCUGACAAGACCAGUAUAUCCGGUUUCCUAGUAGCCCGCAAUUAAUUACUAGGUGGCGACUCCAACGAACCAAGUAAAACGAACAACGAUAAAAUCGCCAGCCGAUGCCGCGCGGAUUUUUUUGACGUGCGACAGAAUGGCGACUCCGCUGGGGAAGGUAUUGUUUCUGACGAUAUUGGACUAAGCUUUGUGUAUUUGAUGUGUUUAUGUUUUUGCAUUUUUGUCUUGUUUUAUUUUUGUUUUAUUCAUGCAUUUUGUAGAAUUGUCUCAUGCAUCACAUAUUUUGAUUUUUCAAAGCACACACAAGCUUCAGGUUAGGAGGGGGACUAGCAGCUUACCUUAUGACUUUUAGUCAAGGUUUAAGUUUGUGUAAACCCCAACUCUUUGUUGAGUGCUUAGACUGGUAAUAGUUGGACAUGUGCCAUCUCAUUGCCUACAAGCCCCCAUAUUGCCUCCACGAGGGCAAUCACUGGGACAACAAGAGACCCUUUUUAGAGACCAAGUAGUAAACCUAUCUUUUGUCUCACUUAAAAAGAUUAGAACCUGCCUUUAGGAUGUGUGCUCCGUAUAUAUUGUUUUGCAUCAGGGCAAACCCUUCUUGAAGCAUCUUGAACUCAAGACUUUUGGGUGACCCAAUGGCCGUCACUCAGAAAAUUUUCAUUGUAGAGUUUGGGCAAGAAUCAAGAUUCUUGUUUCAUCAUACAAGAGUUACGACCAUAUGUCACCCCUCGAAGGGCGAGUUCUUCAUAUAGUUUACAUGUUCAUACAUUUAUCAUGCAUGUACCGGGAGGAAAAAUAGGUUCCCCCAUCCGAGCUUUGCUACACCUGAUUGAACAAAGAUGAUGAGAAAUGAAGAAAGGAGUCAAAGAGAAGCUCAUUAUCAAAGGGGAGUUGAGAGCAUCAAAGUAGCUAGACUCAGAUCUCCCUAAACAAGUGUUAAGCAUCAAAUGGAAAGAGAAUGUCUGCACAAUCUUCUGUGGAAACACUGCUUGUCCACGUCCAAGUGAAGCUGCACCUCUCCAUUUCAGUCCUGAACAACAACAGCAAUGCCUUCAGUCAUCAACUAAUGACAACUCUGUUCUUGUUCAGUUGCCCUGUUAAUUGUUCAUCGCCUCCACAUCUUUCAAUGGCACCAAAUAAUUGCUAGCCUUCUGUGCAUGAUGCAUUAGCCUUCUUUGAGGUUACCCUCACUGUGAGCUUAAUUCCAGUUCAAAAAAAAACAAAAAACAAAAAAAAAACAAAAAAAACCAUGAUUAGACACUGAACUUCAAUGUGGCAGAGCUCUCUCUACAAAAAUCUGUUUAUGGCUCUGCAAGUUGGGAAUGCAAGAGGGGAUUUAUAAGUUGCAUAUGCUAUAAAAAUCUCUCAUCAGUUUCAGCACAAAAACACUACAGUAGGUUGAAGAGCCAGACAUGGUCUGAAAAACAUGAACAAACACCAAACUUCUACGUUGCAGAGCUCUCUCUGUAGAGAUUGUUUUGGGGAUCUGCCAGUGGGGAAUGCAAGAGGGGAUGCAGUACUUUCAUAUGCUACAAAACUUUGGCUCAUCAGUUUCAGCACUGAAACACUGGAGUAGGCCGAAGAGUCAGACCUAGUCUGAAAACAUGAGCAGUCGUCGAACUUUGACGUGGCAGAGCUCUCUCUACAAAAACCUGUUUAUGGCUCUGCAAGUGGGGAAUUCAAGAGGGGAUGUAGUAGUUCUAGACAAUGUGAAAAGUUACCCCACCAGCUUCAGCAUCGAAACACUGUAGUAGGCAGAAAAGCCAGACUUGAGCUAGAAAACAGGAGCAAAUAUAGAACUUCACCGUGGCAGAGCUCUCUCUGCAGAAACCUGUUUGUAGAUCUGCAAGUGGAGAAUCCAAGAAGGGAUGCAGUAGUUUCUGAUCAUCUAUAAUUUUCUCUCAUCGGUGUUAGCUUGAAAAUGCAAAAGAAGGGAAAAGAGACAAACCUCGGCUGAAAAAUAGAAAGAAGAUUGAAACUUCAACAGAGCAGAGCUCCCUCUACAGGUGUCUGUUUGCUGCACCAUCAGUGAGGAAUCAAAGAGGAGACAAAGGAGUUUCAGAUUCAUCAGUUUCUCCUCCAAUAAAAACAAUGCACAUUUCAUGCAGUGACAGUGAUAGCGCUGCAUGAUUCUAUGCGCUGGCAAGAUUACCUAGCUGUUGGAAGGUUUCCAACAAUCCACAAAGGACCACAACAACAUUGGAAGAAUGACAUGAUGUUGUGAAGAUCAUCAAAAGAAUUGAGCUAGCUGUCAAGAUGGGAAAGAUUGAAGGAUCUGCCAUGGAUUCCAGAACUGUGAAGAGAUGAAUCAGGAGAUGACUCUGAAAACGGGAAACCAUAGUUAUGUGGUUUAGUCAAGUCUCACUGUAGCACCAGCUACUCAAGUGUCGUUGCCAAGAUUGACAUCUUUCUGCCACCCAAGUUGGACUACUAGCAUCUGUCAGAUUCCAGACUUUUUGCCUAACUCUGUUAAAUCCCAUGCAACCACUGUUUCUUAUGUGAUCCAAACAAGAGAUUUGAAUAUCAUGGGGGGAUUUCAGGCCAUUCAGUUGAAUAAUUGCAAGAAUCGAGUCCGCAAAUUGGUGAGCAAAAGACGAGAGGAAUCUGUGAAGGAGCUUGUCAUCGAUCAUUUUAUCGCCAGAACAUCCUCAGAAUGACGAGUGAUCGAAAUUGCUCGGUAAACACAGAUAUUGCCAGAAUAGUUGAUCCAAGAAGGGCGUUGAACUGUCAAUCAUGUUGUUAUGGAAUUUUUGCCAUUCUGCAUUUUGUUUUGGGGUCACAUCUCAUCCUUGAACGAAACAUGUCUUUUCUUUGUCUUUUUGUUGUUUUGAAAUCAAGAGAUGCUUCUUUCAAAGGGUAUUUUGACAAAAAUAUUUUUUUGAUCAAACUCCAACAUACAAAAUUAAAGCUAGUCAAUCCUGAAGAUUAAAAGUGUUUUGAUUGCGGAAAUGACUUGAUGCUUGAAAAGGACAUGAGGUGACCAAACAAUUUUGAACUCAUAUCUCCUGAAACUGAACAACACAUCAUAUAACUAAGUUUUAGCAGUAUGCAUAAUGACAUGUAGUGGAUUCGGUAGUUAUGGACUCGUGAAUCAUGACUCUUACAAGUCCAAAUCAUUACACUAGAUGAGGUCAAAAUUUAUCGAUUCUAACCGACUUUGCUUGAAAUGAGAAAAGGCCAUCUUCGAUAUCCCUUCACUUUCUAAAGAUUAUAUCCCUUGCAGUCCUAUUUUGAGCCUGGUAAAAUAUUCUCUUUCAAAAAGAAACCUUGACUAGGAUCACACCCCACACUGGGGGCAAUGAGAGAUAUGUUAUUAGGAAGGAUGAAGACACUGAUAGAAUCAAUGAUAAAAGAAAGGCUUAGAAUAAAAGCCCAAUGAUUGAGAAAGGGAGAACAAGAAAAGCCAUAGAUUGAGGGUCAUCCAAGAAAACUUUGAGGAAGGUUAUGUAAAAGCAAAAAAAAAAAAAAAAGGUGGAAAUGAAGGAGAAUGCCUAUCAAUUCUAAGAGGGGCAAAAAAGGUUUCAAUGGAAGAAAGACACAACAAAUGUCAAAAGUCAACACCAAAAAAAUCAAGUUUCAUGUCUUUUGGUGUGUCUAGGAUAAAGCCUUUAGUGUCUUCAAAAUUUUUUAGAUUCAUUAUUCAUCAGAGAUAAAGUUGGAUUAGCAUUAUGACCUAUGUUAAGAGAAUUCUGAUAUUUGAGAUAAACAAGGUUAUAUAUCACUUUCUCUACUAUGACAACAAGAGAAAGAGAGUUGAUGAAUAGUUGAUGUUGAUCUUAGGUCUUUGAAACCCUCAAACACCUAUUGAGCUUUGAAAAUUCCUUUCUUUCAUAGCCAUGAACCAUAGCCUACAUUACGUGCUCUUAAAAGCCCUUUUUAAUCAAGUAAACAAUUUGAACCGAUAAAUGGCGCUCUAAAAAACUUGAAGAGUUGUUCUAUAAGGGUCGUGACUUCAUGGAUUAAGCUACUGGUUAUUAUGCAUGCUGAUAAAAUUGAUGCUAAAAAAAAAAGAAAACAAUCUUUCUUGAUGAAUCCUCAAGUUUUGACUUGAGCCUUUUGUUUCUUGAAAUUCACAGAAGGUCACCUCAUCGCAGACCAUCAAAAGAUAUACCCAAGAUCAAAGAUUAAAACUGACAAAGAACCAUGAAAAAAAACCAUUUUAGUCUUACAACGGGUCAAUUUCUGUUUUCAAAAUACAUGACAAUCAAAGGACUGUAUAUUUCGAAUAACGUGUGUUGGAUCUUUGGCCGAAGAAACUUGAUUUUCAAAAACUAACAUCUCUCUGAUUUCAUUUCAACAACUAGACUUUGAAUUGACAUGAUCUUUGAAAUAUGAGAGUUGAUUCCAGAACAAGAAAGAUUGUUAAACAACAAGAACAUCGACCGAAUUUGCAAAAUCCUUGACAAGAAUGACAACAACAUUUCUCGACACUCCUUGAAAAGUUGACUGCUUGGAGGUAAUACAGUGGAUCAUGGGUAGGAAAACAAACAGUAUUCAGAUCAGCUGGGGGCAAUGAAAGAUGAUCAAAGGAUGAAUCAAUGCACUGAGGACAAUGGUGUUUAAAGAAAGCUAAUCAGCAGAACAAGCACAUUCAGAUCAUUACUCGGGGCAAUGUUGUUCAAAGACAGUCAGUGAUUUAGUGAACUUCAGCAGCAAUUGAUGAGCAACGCUGCACUUGAAGGGCAUUUUAUUAUCUUCAUCUUGGGGUUACCCUUUGAAACAUGGCUAUGACAGAUGUUAUCUCAUAGUUGCAUUAGAAUGAAUGUCAGAAAGAUGCACACCACCAAGACUGACUGUGGGACCAUCUAUUCUGAAGCUCAAAUGCGCACUUCACCGCAUGAAUAUGGGUGAUGAACAUCAUUGAUGAUGCCAACACAUUUCCUUUCAUGAUCUGAUUUGACAAGCUGAGAAGAAUCCAUGGAGAAGAACAUUGAGCUUACAACGAUGAGCCUUUUUUACUGCAAGAGGAUAAUUCUUAGAAGGAUCCAGGAGAGAAAAUCCUUCACGAUGAAUCAAGCAACACCACACUUGGGGGCAGAGUCAAGUGAUAAACAGCAAGAGCAGUAACCGUCGAAGACAGCCCAGGAUGUGCACUGCACUUACAACUGAGGGGAUGGCUAGCACAUGAAUGAGCCAAUGCAUCGAAAGAACCAAUAAAGCUUUGGAAUGCAAACAAAGGCACCCUAUAACGAUGGAUCAUCAAAGGGAGGGGCCUAUAUUUCACAUCAGGUAAGGAUGCAUGCAUGUCAUCUAACCUCAAAGCAUUGCACAUACUUGUGAUUUGUUACAGAAAGAUCCUCAAUGAAGUCCAGCAAGAUUAUGGACAAAGAAAGAAUCAUUGAGUCGAUAAUAACAGAGAAUCAUGGUUGUGACCUUGAAACGGGAAGAAGAUGAGAUAAACCUUACUGUUAGGAAAAUCUCAAAGAAAUGAAAAGAUCAACCUUGCAAUCAGAAAGCAUCGAGUUUUCAAACCCUGCGAUCAAGAAUUAUCAAGAAGCACCAAGUUUUCUGCCCUUCUUCUAUCAUCCCUUCAGGACUUCGCCAGGUAAGUCCCAUUUUUCACACUUGUCACAUCACAUCUUUCAUUUGGGUAGGUCACCCAUAACAAUGAGACCAUUUCAUAUUUUUUCUAUCCUCCACCUGGGUAGGUCACCCAUUACAAUGAGACCACUUCAUAUUUUUUCUAUCCUCCACCUGGGUAGGUCACCCAUAACAAUGAGACCACUUCACAUUUUUUCUAUCUUCCACUUGGGUAGGUCACCCAUAACAAUGAGACCACUUCAUAUUUUUUAUAUCCUCCAUCUGGGUAGGUCACCCAUUACAAUGAGACCACUUCAUAUUUUUUCUAUCCUCCACCUGGGUAGGUCACCCAUAACAAUGAGACCACUUCAUAUUUGUUCUAUCUUCCAUCUGGGUAGGUCACCCAUUAUAACGCGACCACUUCACUUUUUUUCUAUCUUCCACCUGGGUAGGUCACCCAUUAUAACACGACCACUUCACAUUUUUUCUAUCUUCCACCUGGGUAGGUCACCCAUUAUAAUGAGACCGCACUUCACAUUCUUUCCGUUUGGGUAGGUCACCCAUCAUAAUGAGACCAUUUUCCAUCAUUUUUUCUUGGGUUCGUCACCCAUACAAUGAGACCAUCAUUUUUUUCUUGGGUUCGUCACCCAUACAAUGAGACCAUCAUUUUUUUCUUGGGUUAGUCACCCAUACAAUGAGACCAUCAUUUUUCUGGGGUUCGUCACCCAUACAAUGAGACCACCAUUUUUCUUGAGUUCGUCACCCAUACAAUGAGACCACCAUUUUUCUUGGGUUCGUCACCCAUACAAUGAGACCAUCAUUUUUCUGGGGUUCGUCACCCAUACAAUGAGACCAUCAUUUUUCUGGGGUUCGUCACCCAUACAAUGAGACCAUCAGUUUUCUUGGGUUCGUCACCCAUACAAUGAGACCAUUUGUUCCACAUUCUUUGUUUUGGUUUAAUGAGGUCGCCAGAUGGGAUCUCAUGUAGCUUUGGUUAAAGGGAAUCGCCAGAUGGGAUUUCAGGUUAACCGAGUUACGUAACAUCUUUUAGUUUUGGUUUAAUGAGGUCGCCAGAUGGGAUCUCAUGUAGCUUUGGUUAAAGGGAAUCGCCAGAUGGGAUUUCAGGUUGACCGAGCUACCACACAUUUUUUUAGUUCCAGUUGAAUGAGGUUGCCAGAUGGAAUCUCAUGUAGCUUUGGUUAAAGGGAAUCGCCAGAUGGGAUUUCAGGUUGACCGAGCUACCACACAUUUUUAAGUUCAAAUUGAAUGAGGUCGCCAGAUGGGAUCUCAUGUAGCUUUGGUUAAAGGGAAUCGCCAGAUGGGAUUUCAGGUUGACCGAGCUACCACACAUUUUUUAGUUCCAGUUGAAUGAGGUCGCCAGAUGGGAUCUCAUGUAGCUUUGGUUAAAGGGAAUCGCCAGAUGGGAUUUCAGGUUGACCGAGCUACACACAUUCUUUGGUUUUGAAAAAGGAGAUCGCCAGAUGGGAUCUCAAGUUAACAAAAAAAAAAAAAGGAAAGAAACAUUUAGAGUUUUUCUUUACAAAGCUUACUAUGCGAAACAUUGAGGAGUUUUGCUUCGUAAGCAUUGUAAAGAGGGGGCAUCUGUUGCUACCCAAUUUUUGACCCAUGUUUUGAUAAAUUUUUAAAAAAAUUCAAAAAUAGCGAAAAACAUUGAAAACCCAAAAAAUACAUUUUUUAUAUAUUUGCAUCGUUUUUAGCAUUUUCAGCGUCGUCUAAAAAGAAUUUAAAUUUUCAAAGGUCUUUCGAACGCGUUCAACUUUUAACGCGUUAAUUUUAAAAUCAUUGAUUUUCCUCAUUGAGUCGACGUUGAUAUUGCUCGUUUUCAAAAAUACAAAAAAAUUAAAGAAAAUCAAAUUUAAAAAAAAAAAAGAAAGUUGAGGAAUCAAGUUUGAGGUCCAAACAAUAUUUUGCGGAAUUUUAAAUAUCAGAGGGGGAGGCAACCAGCCGCUCCCCCUGGCCCAAGACCAUUGGAUCCCUCUCUUUCGGCUGAAAAGCAGGAACUCAGCUCCCCACUUCUUUUCCUUUUUUCCAGCCGACAACAGGCCCUCCUCACAAGGAGGAACCCCUAUUUCUUGUCAUCUCCAGCUACACACCAGAGGGGGGGGAUAGUCCCAGAUUUUUCUUCUUCCUGACAGCCGUGGGCAGGGGCCCACGGCUCCCCAAUCUCACUUCCUUCUCUCACAGCCAUCAUCAGCCCUGCCCCUCUCAUCGCCAUUUCCCCUGCCAUUUCAGCCUUCCACCUCUGCCUCUCCACCCUCACAGCAGACCAGCCACAAGCCUCACGUCUGCCCCUGACAUCUCCCCCCUGGAUUUUCUUCUCUACUCCCUCAACUGCACAGCCGGCCCUUUCCCCUUGAUUUUUUUCCUCUCAUCUUCUUCCCCUCAGCAGCCGGCACAAACAGCAGCCCAGCCCUCCUAGACCCAUAUAGACCCAGCACCAGCUCCCACAGCACCGUUUCCCUCCAGCUUCUUCACCCAAAACCAUCCUUCCAUCUCCAAUUUUCUGCCCACUCAAGACAGCCCCUCACCUCCUCUCUUACUCCGAUCUUCACUCAUCAAUCGGCCAUAGACCAACAACAGCCACGAAUUAGCUCCCCCUUCCACAGAUCCUCUCUCUCAGCUGCUCCCUUCUCCAGCCGCAGCGGCGCCUUCUUCAUCCGGCAGCACCCAGCAGAGCCUUCCUUCUCCAGCUCCUCCCUCACAAAUCGCCCUGCAGCCGACAUCCAGCAGCGAGACCCAAGACCAACAGCAGCGAAGGAAGACCAUCAACGCCGGCCCCCAGCGGUGGCAGCAGCAGCAGCAUCGCCCACAGGCGCGGAGUAGUCCGCCUUCUCCCUCCGGUGGCACCUGCAGUUUCGGUUUCCUCAACUCUCUCCUCCUGAACCAGCGGCCAGCUCGCCGCCUCUAGCAGCAACACCACUCUCUCGUCUGUUCCUCCUUGCCGCUCCAGCACAUGGAGCAGAGGAGAAGAAGAGGAUGACCGAAGGAGACCGAUCUGCAGUGAAGCAGAUCCAAAGAACCCGAACGAACCAGAUUUGAAAAGGGGAAAGGAAGGGAAGCCGAUCUGAAAACAAGAUUAAAACAGACUUGCUUGUUGCGUUUUGUUGUUUUGCAGGUAACGGCGUUGUCGCCGCCGGCAAGGAAGAGAAGAGGGGAGAAAGCCAUUUCUGGCCCCCCUGUUUCUGGUUUGAUUUCACGGCGGCGCGUGGACCCACGCGCCGCCAGCGGCGGUGGUGCGUGAGAUCCACGCGCCGCCACUGUCCUUGCUGUUCCAGAGGUCUUCACAGCACUAUUCCAGCGACUCAGAGGUUACCAGCACUGUCCCGGAUUGUUUUGGGUCAUUUUUUGGAAUUUUAGAAUUGUUUAAUGUUAUAUUUGUGUAAUUUUGAGUUUUUCUUUUCAUAGUUUGUAUUUUAUAUUUUAUGUAAAUGUGGAUGUAGAAGAAAAGAAAGAAAAGAAAAGAAAAAGAAAUGUUUGUGUGUGUUUGUUUUUUUUUUAUUUAUAUUAUUGAAUUAAAAAAAAAAAAGGACAAAAAGAAUUAAUUGUUAAUUUAAAUAUGCACAAAUAUCUAAAGGACAGAUAAAAAUCAUGUUGUAUUUCCCAUAAAAAUGUAGAACAUGUAUCUACAUAUAUUUUGGGAAUGAAUAACUGAUUUAUCAAAGCCUUAGAAUUGGGCUAAAAUUUUAUUUUUAAAAUGCAUCAAGUCCACGAAGCAGCUUACCUCAGGUAGGGUGUGUUAGGGGUGCUAAUACCUUCCCUAACCACAACCAGUCCCUUACCCAUGAAUCUCUGACAAGACCAGUAUAUCCGGUUUCCUAGUAGCCCGCAAUUAAUUACUAGGUGGCGACUCCAACGAACCAAGUAAAACGAACAACGAUAAAAUCGCCAGCCGAUGCCGCGCGGAUUUUUUUGACGUGCGACAUGACUAAACUAAUAUAAUUAUAUGUAAUAUUUACAGGAAAUAGCUGAAAUAAUUCCCUUCCGGGUACCAGAACCAGCCACAGCCGGACUAGGCCAGGCGGGCAGAAUAGUUAAUGAUCGAUGGCAAAACUGUGGUCGACCGUGGUGUUGGAAUGAAUUGACAGUCCUCCUCCUAGGCAUGUCCAAGAAACAAACUUACCAGGACGUAUUUAUUGGUCUGCAUUCUAUCAGUGCGCCCCAUUUAUUAGCCUCAACUAUAAAUCAUAACCAUUAACCCCUUGUACCGUCAUCAUCUUUUAACCACUUCCCUUUCAUCUCAUCUUUUUGGCCUCCAUUUCAUCAUAUUUUGUUUUUUUUAUGUUUUUUAUAUUAAAUUAAUUUUUUAAAUUUUUAAAUUUUUUUUACAUAUUUAUAUAAAAUAUAAAUUAUAAAAAAUAUUUUCAUAUAUUUUGAAAUAAAAAAAACAAUUUUUAAAACGAUAUCAAUUCAACAAUAGCUGCCGACUUUUGACAGUUUCCAUGUAUUUUCAGAGAACUAGGUGCAGGUUUAGAUACGAAGAAUUUAACCUCAUCACAACAACAAAUAAAAUAUUUUUUGAAAAAAUAUUAAUAUGUGAGCAUCAUACGUACACGUGUGUGUGUGUGUGAUGAGAAAUUAAGUUAAUCAUUUGAGAUGCGUCGAAGAUUUGAAGACUAGAAGUAAGGAUCGAGGGAAGAGGAAACAAGGAAAAAAUUAUUUAUAACUCGCCAAAUGUUGCUGACACUUGUACUCUGUACCCACAGCGAGGCUCGGCAACAGAACUAGAUUAAACUAAUAAUUAACGCUUUAUCUUGAGUAGAAUCUUUAACGCUCUACUGACCUCGACUUUGGUUUCCAAUGAUUUCUUACUCGUCGAUGAAAGUGUCUAAUGAGAGAGGUUUUAAUUAUUUUUUAAAGAUGCCAGAGAUCCAAGUAUUCUGAUUUUAUUUUUAUUUUUUUAAUAUCAAAUAUAUAUAAUAACAAAAGAUAAUUUUACUGUUAGUUUCAUCGUUACAUUGUCCGAUGAACAAUAAUUUAUAUACAGAUGAACAGGAACGUGAUAUUGAACUAAAAUAAUUAUAGGUAAUAUUUGUAAAAAAUAGUUGAAAUAAUCCCCUUUCGAGUACAGAGUAACAGGACGGAGCCACAGCCAGAUUGGGCCAUGCGGGCAGAAUAAUUAAUGAUUGAUGGCAAAACUGUGGUCGUAUUUAUUGGUCCUGCAUACUAUCUCAACUAUAAAUCAUAACCAUUAACCCCUUGUACCGUCAUCAUCAUUUAGCCGCUACCCUUUCAUCUCCUCUGUUUUUGGGCUCCAUUUCAGCAUUUUUUUUUUCUGUUUUUUAUAUUAAAUUAAUUUUUUUCAUUUCUAAUUUUUUUUACAUAUUAAUAUCAAAAAUAAAAUAUAACAAAUAUUUUAAUAUAUUUUGAAAUAAAAAAACAAAUUUAAAACGAUAUCAAUUCAACAAUAGCUGCCGACUUUUGACAGUUUCCAUGUAUUUUCAGAGAACUACGUGCAGGGUUAGAUACGAAGAAUUUAACCUCAUCACAACAACAAAUAAAAUAUUUUUUGAAAAAAUAUUAAUAUGUGAGCAUCAUACGUACACGUGUGUGUGUGUGUGGUGAGAAAUUAAGUUGGUCAUUUGAGAUGCGUCAAAGUCUUGACUAGAAGUAAGGAUAGAGGGAAGAGGAAACAAGGAAUAUUCAGUGGAUCAAUGACAUGCUAUGCUAAAAAUAAUUCAGUGUGUUGAAUGUAAACAUGCUUUAAUUUCAACAAAUUUUUAAUUUAAUUUCAAUAUAAUUUUUAAUUAAUUUUAAAAUUAAAUAAUAAUUUAAAAACUUGAGAGUUUGAACUAACACAUAUAAAUCACGAUGAAAUUUCAACCUCUUUAUAACUCCUACAUAAUAUCUUCAAAUCAAUUGUAUUGUAAUUUUGAUAUUUUUAAAUAUUCUUAAAUGAUGAAAAAAAAUCACCAGCUGAAAAAACGUUAACUAGUCUAUGUUAAAAGUCUAUUGACACGUGCUCUAUCUUGGUUAGAUUAAUUUUUUUAAAACAUAAAAAAGACUAUUGAGAGCACGAAGAGUUUUUUUUUUUAUAAUGUUAUGAACUCUGAUCAAAUAGGUCAAUCCUAAAACCUUUUGUCUUAGCUGUUUGUCUAAUUCAAGUUUUAAAUUAAAUCAUGUGAGAGCUAGUCUGAUUAAACAAUUAAUUUUAUGGAUUCAAAUGUAACGUGAAUGACUAAUGAAAACAUAACUUAGCUUUUAAAAAGAAUUCAAGAUAAAUCUUUUUUAAAUAUCGAGACAAUGACAGAUUGAAUCAAUCCCGGUCCCCCAAUAACCCGGAUCAUGAACUCUAUUUGAUUUAAUAACAUUUUUUCUAAACUCUUUUUAAUUAUAUAAUAAAAAUAGAUACUCAUAAAAUUAAACACCAACCCUAAAAUAUAUAUUUAUUUGAAACUAUGAUAAAUCUAUAGAAAAUAAACAAAAAUAAACUUUAUAGUCUAUUUUCUAACCAAUCCAAUAUUAAAGGACGAAAUAAAAAAAAUAAAGGAUAAAAAAAAAAACAUCCAGUCUGUUAGUAAACCUGUCAAACCUGUGAAUCAGGUAACUUGAGCUAGCAUGCCAAACUAGUGAACGGGGUUAUGGACUUCACUGAGAUUAUAAUUUGCUUUUUUUUAAAAAAAUUAUUUUUUAUUUAACUAUACAAUAAUAAAAAUAGACGAUCGCAAAAUCGAACAUUAACUCAAUACUGAGAUAUUUUUUGAGACCGUGAUAACUCUAUAAAAAAAAAUGAAAACCAAUUAUGAAAUUAAAUUUCCAAUUAACCCAAUAUCUAUAGAUGAAAUCGAAAAAAAAAAAAUCUUUCCAAACCCGCAAACAAUGUCAACCAACCAAACAUGUGAACAGAUUUAUGAACUUUAUAAAGUUUAAUAAUAUUUUUUUUGAAAUUAUUUCUUUUAACUAUAUGAGAAAAAAAAUAAUAAAAAAAUCAAGUUCAAUUAAAAAAAAAAAACUUCGCUAAACCCAUAAACCAGUAUAACUUGGGUUAUCCAAGUAAACCCGCAAACUACUUUAACCAUAUAAAAAAACAAAUUAAAAAUAAAUAAAUUACAAGGCUUGGUUUUAAAUUACUUUUAUAUUGAAAGAUAAAAUAGAAAAAAAUCAUUUUGAAAAACAAACAACACAAAAAAAUUUUUAAAAAAAAAAGAAAAAGAAGAAAAAGCAAUACACAGAUUAUUGUAAUCCAUGGGGUAAUAGAUAUGAAUAAACAGUAGUUUCCACUUUAGCUUUCUCUUAAUUAUAGAAAACCAAUAAGCAAAGCGAGAGCAGAGAGAACAUAUAUCAUGAAAUUUUUGCUAUAAAAAUAAUAAUAGCAAAGGCUAAAACGGUAUGCUUAAAAAAAAAGGAAAAAAGAAAAAGUGGACGAUGGACGACGUGGUUUUGUCCCACAGGUUGAAAAAAGCAGUGUUUUAAAACGCGGACCGGCCCAGCGGGUCGACCGGUGACCCGGCCGACCCGGGCCUGGGACCGGUCCGGGUGGAGGCUAAAACCCGCUUGGGAAUUGGCCCGGGGAAACCCUGUCGACCCGCCGGGUCGACCCGGGAACCGGUCCACCCGGUCAAACCCGGGUGAGACCCGAUCACUUUUUUCCCUGCCGCUGCCUCUUCUCUUCCUUCGACCUCCGCGUCCCGGCCUAUUGCACCUGCUGCCUAAGGAGAAAAACCCGAGUUGGAGGAGUUCCAUUGAAAUUCACACUCUUCACCUUCUUCUCACUAGCAUUCACUAUAACCCCAGCUCUCCUAUCAGUCUUCUUCGCCAUCAAUGGCGUCAUCAUCGCCAUCUCCUGUUUCCCUUGCUCCUGUUUAGUAUAAUCCUUUGCUCCUGUUUCCCCAAUCCUUGCCCUUCCUUCCACCCCAUCCUCGCCAUCAUCCUCUGCGCCGCAGUCAUUUGUCCACCAGCACCAACUCCCAACCCUAUCGUCCCUGACAUCCCAAUACUAAACCCAUCCCCAUUCCUGGGUGGCGAAGAACUCCUCGGAACACCUCCACUCAUGGCAGCACGCCUUCUCCACGCUUCCUCCCCAGAAAUAUUCACAUCCCUGUCCCUAUCCUUCUCCCUUUCCCUUUCCCUCUCCCUCUCCUCCUCCUCCUCUUGCCUCCUCCUCUCAAUCUCCCUCAACCUCUCCGCUUCCAUCGCCUUCCUUUUUUUCUCCCUCCUAUAAUCUUCAUAAUCAUUCAGCCUGGCCGGAUCAUACUCCUCAACAACCACCGAAUUCACCCCUACCAGUUCUGGUUGCGGAGCAACCUCAUCGGGUAGCACAGUCGCCGCCGCCACGAACGAAGAAACUAAAGAUUUGGAAGCAGAGAUUUGGGGUUUAGGUUUGUUAGGGUUUUUUAAAAGUGAUGUGAGCAGAAGAAAUUAAUAAAAGUGAAUGUGGACUUGUGGUGUUAAUUUAGAAUUUAGGUUUUUUUUUUUGGGUUGACCCGGGUUAACCCGGGUCAACCCAUCUGACCCGUGACCCGAUCACUUGACCGGGUCGGGUUUCAAAACUAUAGAAAAAAGGCUUGUGCUUCUCGUGCAUCUUUUAUUCCCCUCCCCUGUCCCUUUCACUCAAAGGGUUAGUUCGAGUUUCUUCGCAUAUUGUUGAAAAUAUGAAGGAUAAUUGUUUUGCGACGACUGAUUGUGUCAUCAUCAAAAUAGGUAGGAUUAAAUUGUGGUAAUGAUUUUUUAAAAAAUAUUUUUUAUUUGAAAAUAUAUUAAUAUAAUAUUUUUUAAAUUUUAUUUUUAAUAUCAAUAUAUCAAAAUCAUUUAAAAAUAUCAAAAACUUUAAUUUAAAAUAAAAAUUUUAUUUUUUUAAAAAAAGCACGGCAUCACUACAAUAGUUAACACUCACAAAAUCUCGUGGAAGUGUUGAGUGCUUUUUUUUUGGGUUAUUAACUUGGUUCAUGAGUUUGAACCGGAUCACCUAAAUUAUUAAAUAGUUAAAUGAGUUUUAUCUGUCAAAAUCUUGGUUAAUUCAACUAAUAACCUGAACCGAUUUUAAAUUUUGAAUUUCCUACAUUAAUCUAUCCGGUUGGCAAAUAUUAUAAAUAUGGUAAAAAAAUAAAAAAAAAAAUACAGUACAGGCACACCACUCGUAUAUAAAAGACACCGAAGGUUUGAACUUUGAUCACUGAAUUGAGGUGUUGCCAAUUGAACUUCAUUGGUACUGGUAGAAUAUGGCAGAUGAGAAGAAACAAAACCUGGAAAACAAACCUGUGUUGUCUCCACCUCUACCCGAGAGGAAGAAAAACACCUCACCAAACUUCCUUUUAUCUGUUGAGCUCAAAUAUGUGAAACUUGGUUACCACUACUUGGUUUACAAUGCCAUGUACCUCAUGCUCAUGCCAGUACUUUGCGUGAUUUUUGCUCAUCUUUCAACAUUCACAGUUGAUGAGCUUUGGAAUCAACUCAAAUUCAAUUUUGUGACAGUAGUUCUUUCCUCAACCUCAAUUGUUUUUACUGCUACACUCUACUUCAUGAGCCGUCCAAGAAAAGUUUACUUGGUGGAUUUUUCAUGUUACAAGCCCGGACCAGCUCAUAAAGUAUCUAGAGAACUCUUCAUGCAGUUAUCUGCAGCGUCCGAGGUUUUCACAGAGCAAAGCUUAGCUUUUCAAAAGAAAAUCCUAGAGAAAUCAGGCUAUGGUGAAAUGACCUACGCUCCAAAAGGCUUGAUGCGUGUCCCGCCAGACCAGUCCAUGGCUGAAUCCUGGAGGGAAUCAGAGAUGGUGAUGUUCGGAGCAAUUGAUGAUCUCUUGGCCAAAACAAUGGUGAAGCCUAGAGACAUAGGAAUACUGGUGGUGAAUAGCAGUUUGUUCAAUCCCACGCCGUCUCUCUCAGCUAGAGUUGUGAAUCACUACAAGCUUAGAGGGAACAUUUUGAGCUAUAAUCUUGGUGGUAUGGGCUGCAGUGCAGGACUUAUUUCUAUUGAUCUUGCCAAAGACCUUUUACAGGUUUGUUACUUCAAAUUAAUGGCAAACUUUUACGGUUUUUAAGGUGCCGCCUUCGGAUUUAGCAAUUUAAUUUGAAUGAUUUGACGACGGUACGGUUGAUAUAUAGCAUGAUUUGCACAUAUGUAUGAUAUUCUUAAAAUUAAGCAUGAGUUUGUACAUAUUUCAAAUCUACUUGUCAGAAGGUCUCGGGUUUAAAUAUUUCCUUUAUAUAAUAAAAGUAAUAAUACUUACAAGGAUUGACACUUCAUUGUACCAGGUGCAUCCCAACUCCUAUGCCCUAGUGGUGAGCACCGAGAACAUUACUCGCAACUGGUAUUUUGGCAAUGACCGAUCGAUGCUUGUCACCAACUGCCUCUUCCGUAUGGGAGCAGCCGCAGUCCUCCUAUCCAACCGGACAUUUGAUCGCCGUCGCUCAAAGUAUCAACUUAUCCGUACUGUACGUACACAUAAGGGUGCAGAUGAUAAGUCCUUCAACUGUGUCUUGCAACGAGAGGAUCUUGACACCCAAAGAGUUGGCGUCUCUCUCUCAAAAGACCUAAUGGCAAUAGCUGGAGAAGCCCUUGAAACGAAUAUAACCACUCUGGGCCCAUUAGUUCUUCCAGUCUCCGAGCAACUUCUAUUCUUUGUAACCUUAGUUGCCAAAAAAAUCUUCAAGAUGAAGAUAAAACCAUAUAUUCCUGAUUUCAAGUUGGCAUUUGAGCACUUCUGCAUCCACGCUGGAGGAAGAGGUGUGUUGGAUGAGCUUGAGAAAAAUCUUGAGCUCACUGAAUGGCAUAUGGAGCCAUCAAGAAUGACUCUUUAUAGGUUUGGAAAUACGUCUAGCAGUUCUUUGUGGUAUGAAUUGGCGUACUCCGAGGCCAAGGGAAGGAUCAAGAAGGGGGACAGAAUUUGGCAAAUAGGUUUUGGUUCAGGAUUUAAGUGCAACAGUGCCGUGUGGCGUGCUAUAAGAGCUAUCGACCCGGCCAAAGAGAAGAAUCCUUGGAUGGAUGAGAUUGAUGACUUUCCAGUUCGUGUGCCUAGAGUGGCACCUCUUGUUUAUUAAAAACGUCAUCUCGGAAAAAAGGUCAUCGUCCAUCGUUAUUAUUAUUUCAAUCGGCAAUAUGUUAUUAUCCGAAUGCAGGAGUAAUUAUUAACAUGAAAUAAAAAUGUUAUUUUCACAUCUCUUUUGGUGUCGAAAUAUAACAUUAUUGAAAUUGGUGUUAUAAUGUAGUGGUUCUAGCUAUCUGUUUUCACGUUUCUUUGUGCAAUCCUGUUGUAGCACUGAUCGGGUCCGAUGUUUAAUGUAAUGGCUAUAUCUCUAAUGUCAGGUUCAAUUGAGGUAUUGGCUUAGAAAAUAAUUUGGAUUAUAUUGAAUCAACUUGUGCAAUAUCAAGUCAAUUCAGACUAAUCAAUUUAGUUAAAAUGAUAAUUUUUAUAAAACUAGAAAAAAAAAUUAAUUUAAAAAGAAAUAAAAAGAACUCCAAAUCAACCUAGUAUAAUCUGUCAAACCUUUCACCCAAGUAAUGAAAAUGAGAUAACUUCAUAAAAAAUAAAUUAAAACAAAUUAUAAAACUUAUUUUUUAGUCAACCAAAAUAAUAAAAGAUAAAAUUAUAAAACAAUUAUAAAAAUAUCCAAAAAAACCUAAGUAAAGUGGAUUAACUUGUAAAACUCAUGAAUCAUGUCAUGAAACUAGGAUAAUAUCAUAGAAAAUAAAUCAAAAUAAAUUACAAAACUCAAUUUAAAUUUAUGAAAUCGUUGUUUGGACUAGAUGGCAGACCAUGAGCGGAAUAUGUAGGGCUUUUGAAGAAGAAAUUAUUGUUUCAAUUAUGAGAAAAAUUGUAAAGGGGGGGGGGGAAUUAAUUACAUGAUCGAAUAUAAUAGCACUAACGUAGGCAGUUAGUAGCAAGAAAAGAGGAAGAGUAUUAAAAAUACGAUAUAUUAAAGCGCGUGUAUACAUGCACAUGCUACCUGGAGAGUGAAUUCAAAUUUGAAAGUAUUUAGCAUAUCAUUUAUAAGCCUACAUUUAACCUAAUCAUUAUGGGCCGUAGACAACAUGAGCCCAUUAUAAAAGAUUCAAUUAGUAUUAUCUAAACCUAAUUAUUAUAGGCCUUAGACAGCAUGAGCCCAUCUUAAAAGAUUCAAGUACUAUCUAAAUCUAAUGAUUAUGGGUCUUAGAUCGCAUGAGCCCAUCUUAAACUAUAAAGAGGGCAUUUGGGGAAGGAAAGCAACAAGCCUUGUAAAACAAAAUAGAGGUGAGGUACAAGAAAAUAGAUUUUUCAAUAUUAGAGCUCAAAGGGAUCGUUCAACCACAUAGGCAUUUGUAAAUUAAAUUAAUGUCGAUAGUCUAUGGAUACAAAUGCACAACAUCAAGAUUACCUAAGUGUUAUAAAACAUUAAUUUAUAAAUCAUUAGCAACCGCCCAUUAAGCUAGUGAAAUGAAAUUUAAAUCAUUAAUUUAAAAAAAAUAAUGAUUUUAGAUUUUCUAAUAUGAUUGUGUUACUCUUAAAUAUAAGGAGAGCCCGAUCCUGGACAAACAAUGAUAUAUUCACUCAUGGACAUUUGAAAAAAUAAACAAAAAAGCUAUCUUUCACGUAUUGGUUUAGGUGGUAAACCAGUUUAUUUUUUACCUCAUAUUUUUAGGUUUGAAUUCAAGAAAAAAUUACAAUAUUUUUAUAACAUGAUUUUAUAUAUCUUUUGUGAAUAUUAUAAAGUAAUUUAGUUUAAAUAAUUAUAAUAUUUUCAUUCAAACCUAGCUUUUGGUCCAUAAUAUAUCAUUGAAACUUCAAAUAUCUAGCUUCGAACCAAUUGAUAAAACAGCAAAAUACCACUUAAAAUUAAAUAUAUUAUAUAGAAUGCUUUUGGGAUUAAUUUACUUGUAACCGAACUCCAAAACUCAAAUUUUUAUUUUGUACGAUUGUCUUCAUGUAUAAGAAAAUUGAGUCAUUUUAACAGUAAAAACCUUUAAGUACCCAACCACACUAGUACAAAUGAAUUUUUGGUGCCCACGCACAAUAUUUCUUAAAAAUGAUUUCUGAUGGGGUUCAAAUAUUUCAUCAUGAGAAUGUGGGUCAAGGCUUAUAUAUUUGAUAAUUGAUUAAUUUUUUAUUUUUGGUUAUCUGAUUAAUUUUUUCUAAUCAAAACGGCUUGUGGCUAAUAUUUAAUUCCUAUAAAAGAUCUCUUUUGAUGGAUUUGGAGACUUCUAAAACUUAAGUAAGUAUCGUUGGAGGAUAUAAAGUAAAAUUAUAUUUUAGAAAAGAAUUCCAAUUAUAAAUAUGUAAUAGGGAGUCCAAAAAAAAUUGAAACUUCUUUGGAAGGAUUUUCACGGUCCUUUUUAUAGCACAUAUGACUUGUCUCUUUUUGAAUGGAAGAUGUGAAAGUAUAAGUAAAAUAUUUAUGACUUGUUAAAUUAAAAUAUUUUUCACUUAUUAAGGAGUAACAUAUCUUUGACUGAUGGUCUAAUCAUAGAAUCUAAGAUUCUAGGAGUAAAAAAAGAGCAUGGGCACAACGCUUGGUUGAGUCUAAAAAUGAUAAAUCUGGUAGCUUGCUGGACCUAUAUAUAUAUAUCUGAGCUCAACACUUAACUGAGUUAAAAAUAUUGAUUUAUCACCUUAUCUUUAGUCAUUUUUUAGAAAAGACAAUUAAGAUAAAAAUAAAAUAUGCUUGUGAAAAAUAAAACUUCUUGAAAAAAAAAAUCCAAUUAACUCUUCUAGAGAAGAAAUUACAUGCAUUAAUAUAUAAUAGAUAUUUGGCCCGCAUUUACAGUAGUUUAGAUUUUUUUUUCUCAAUAAAAACAUUUAUAGACUUUUUCAACAUGUUUUUUUAUUUUAAAAAAAUUCUAAGUGAAAAUCAAAAUAUUUAUACAUAUAUGCAAUCAAAUAAAUUGAGAACUGUGUAUAUUAAUAAGUGAAAAAAAAAACAUAAACGAUGACUAAAUAUAAAAACUGGAAAAAUCGAAAGACAUGUAUAGAUCAAAAUAUUUAAUUUUGCAAGAUGUGACAUUUAGGCGGUUGUGUUUGCUAAAUUUGUUAAUUAAAAUAAUUUUUUUAUCCAAUCAAACGAUAAUAAAAAUAAACACACAUAUUAAAUUGAUUGAAUAAAAUAAAAGAAAAAAAACAAGUAAAGUUGUACAUAUUAUAAAUAUUAUUUGAAAAUAAAUUUCUUUUUAUUUUCAGAAAUAAAGUUCAUCUAUACAAAAGAUUAAAAAAAUAUAGAUUAAUCAUAAAAAUCUCAUCAAAAAUUAAAUGUAUAAUUAAAAAAUAAUUAUCAUUUCAAAUAGGCUUUCUAAAUAACAUAAAAGAGAGAAGAGAUAUUAAUCUAAAUAUAAAUAUAAAUAUAAAUAAAAUUAAUAUUAAUAUUAAUAUUAAUUUUAAAAAAUAAAAAUAAAAAAAUAAAAUAGUUUUUCUUCAACAAAAAAAGAGAGUAAAUAGUGUCGUCCACAGUAAAACUUGUAGGGUGAACCCAGACCAUGAACUCAACCGGUUUUUUCCCCUUAAAUUUAUGGCAAACCUAAAAAAAAGUGAACAAUGUUGUCCAUGGUAAAACAUAAGGGGAUGAACAUUGCGGUUGCACAGUAUUUACCUCACACAUUUUUCCCUUAAAUUUAUAGAAAAACCUUAAAAAAAAUAAUGACUAGUGUCGUCCACAGUAAAACGCGAGGGGGUGAACAGUGUGUCUGUAUAGUGUUCACAACACACGCUUUAGUUUAUUUAGGGUGAACCCGGAUCAUGAACUUAAUCGGGUUUAAUAUUUUUCCCCCUCAAAUUUAUACCAAACCUAAAAAAAGUGAACAAUGUCGUCUAUGGAUGAGGGGGCGAACAAUGCGGCUGUAUAAUGUUCACCCCGUAUGCUUUAUAUAUAUAUGAAAAAUGGGAAAAACACUGUGGACUUGCAUAUUAUUUUUCCCACGCAGUUUAGAUUAUACUAAAUAGAUUGCCUGCGCGUUGCUGCGGGUUACUUUUAGAAACAUGUGCUGCUUUUAAUUAUGAGACAAUUGAAAAAAAAAAGUGUUUUCUAAGCAUGCAAUCAAGAGCUGAUAGCAUUAAAAAGGUAUAUGAUUUGCUUUCAAGCAAUGAAUAAGUAACAUGCAAAAAACUUGCAUAAACUGUCUCGAAUUUCGUAUAAGAAUCAAAUUGUAAAAUAUAAAGAGAGAUCAAUCUAACAUAGGCAUUGUUUGAACAACUCAAAAUAAAAGGUGGCAUGAUAUAUAUAUAUCGAAAAACUUAUGCACGACUUUAAUUAAACAACCUAAUAAACAUUGUGUAAAUUAAUGACAAAAAAAAUCAUCAACAAUAAAAAAAAAGAUGAAUUGAGAAAACCAAGCGAAAAAUAAAGAUCAAAAUAUCUCACAUCACAACACGGGUAAUUUACUUGGUCAUGUUUAAUAAAUUCCUCUAUCAAAAUAAGUUUGUAAUAGAAAAACAAAUAAAAUUUGUAAUAGAAACCGACACACAUAAAAUUUAUUGAACAAUAUAUAUAAAAAAAAUACUGCAAAGCUGCAUAUAUGAAAAAUCUUAUAAAAAAUCAAUAUUAAAAACAAUCUAUAUAAAAUUAAGAAAAAACCAAAGAUGAAUCAUACUCACCUCUCUAAAAACUAAAUACACCCAAUAUCAUUUAAAAAUAUCACAAUCUAAUUAAAAUAUAAAUAAAAAAUUUAUUUGGAAAAGUAUACACAAAUGAUGCAUUAUUUAAAAAAAAAGUAUACAUAUAAAAAAGAACUAGGUCAGAAGCUUGUAGGUCUGGUAAGCUAGGCCCGACGCCUGGCCUAAUGAACCAACGGCCUGCACUUGGGCCUGCAAUGCCAGGCCUAAGCGCAUGCCCUUUUUUAAAGUUUAAUGGGGUGGACAAUGCGUCGUCCGCCCCAAAUAUUUCAAAAAAAAAUGAUGCGUCGCUUACUCCAUCCUAGAAUACGGCCAUUGUGGUGGCUGAAAAAACAAGGUCCGUCGUUUUUUCACCUAAAAAUCUCAUUUUAAACCCAUUUUUUUUUUUACCCAAAACACCUACAAAUAGGGGUGAUUAUUUUCAGUUCGGUUCGAUUUUUAUCAAAAAAAGUAACCAAACUGGUUUUUUUAAAAUACCGAAAUCAGUUCAAACCGAUCGAUUUCAGUUCGGUUUGGUUAUUUUAGAACAAAAACUGGUUCAAACCGAUCGGGUUCAGUUUGGUUUGGCUCUGUUUUUUCGAUUUGACUCAGUUUUUUCCGAUUUGGCUUGGUUUUUGGUUUGGGUUUGGCUCGGUUUUUUUGGUUUCAGGCUUAUAAAACCAAACCGAACCAUUUGGUUUUUUUAAAAAUUCUAAUCAUAUUUUUUUCACGGUUCGGUUUUUUCAGUUAUUGUUUUCUAGUUUUCUUAGUUUAAUCGGUUUCUUGGUAUUUUUGCUCAUUCCUACCUAGAAAACACCAUAGAGACCUUUUUAAACCAAUCCAUUGCAACAAAAAAGCCAAAAAACCAUCACAAAAUCCACUCGAAACAAAAAUUCUUCAGGAGCUUAGAUUUGUUGUUUUAGGUGUUUUGAAGGUAAAAACAAAUACCUAAACAUAACCCCCUCAUCAUAUGAAACCUUCUAACACAAAAAUCAACCAUUUUAGUGAUCAGAAUCUUCCCCAAUAGCUACUUUCUCUCUCUAGACCGGAAUCUGAGGACUCCCUCUCUCUCCUCUCAACAAAAAAAGACUGAAAAAAAAGGAAAAUAAAGUUAGGUAUCAAAAUGUAUUAUUUUGAAAUAUAAGGCACCAAUCACUUUAUACCAAAAAAAUAUUGCGGAUUAAAAUGAAUGUUUCAAUGAAACUUUCAACCCUCUCCUAAUGCUACCCGAGAUUUUCACUUCAGUCCCUUAACUUUCAAUUCAAUCCUCCUUUUAAUAAAAAUACAAUCGAAGGCUAAUUUAGGCUCCAAAAAUCCAAAUCAUGCAAAAUAAAAGUUCAGAGAUUAAAGUGAAAAUUUUCAAAAAUUACAGUGUUCAAAUCCACAGUAGAUUAUGAAAUAGUGCACAGUGUUUUAGCUAAUGUAAAAAGCUGAUGCCUUUUAGCUUUGUACUAGUUAGGUGGCCCGCGCUACGUUGCGAGCCAAUAUUUUUUUAGCAUAAAAAUAUAUAUAAAAAAACUAAGACCCAAGAGCCUUGGGUCUCACUGCAGCGUCAGACCCAAGAGAAUUGGAUUUGGGUUUGGCUACACCGUCAGACC